rnacentral:rRNA from 1 species
UGCGUAGGUGGCAAGCGUUGUCCGGAAUUAUUGGGCGUAAAGCGCGCGCAGGCGGUUGCUUAAGUCUGAUGUGAAAGCCCACGGCUCAACCGUGGAGUGUCAUUGGAAACUGAGAAACUUGAGUGUAGAAGAGGAAAGUGGAAUUCCACGUGUAGCGGUGAAAUGCGUAGAGAUGUGGAGGAACACCAGUGGCGAAGGCGGCUUUCUGGUCUGUAACUGACACUGAUGCGCGAAAGCGUGGGGAGCAAACAGG